AGGGGCGAGACUUGGGGUCUUUAAAGGUGCUGACAAAAUGGAGAUUCUUUUCAGACAAAAGAACAUUUGGAGAAGAAAUAUUUGGAUAGGUCUUGAUGAUACAGUAACUAAGGGUACAUUUGUGUGGCAUGAUGGGACAGUACUUCAAAACAGUGAAUAUUACCCACUUUAUUUUAGCACAGAAAACCCAUCUGGUGCCACCCAAGACUGCAUCCAAUUAUGGAUCUUCGACAACAAAUUGGACGACUUUGAGUGUCAUCUCCCUGUACAUUAUGUGUGUGAGAAAGUGAUUGAUUGAGGAAAUAGUAAUUACUAUUGAAACAAUAAAGUCAGACUACCAAUCGUCUGAAGUCUGAAGUCACAUAAAAA
rnacentral:sRNA from 1 species